AUUGAACGCUGGCGGCAGGCCUAACACAUGCAAGUCGAACGAGUGGCAGACGGGUGAGUAAUGUCUGGGAAACUGCCUGAGAGAGGGGGAUAACUACGGGAAACGGUCGCUAAUACCGCAUACCCUCAGAAGUGCCUAGAUGGGAUUAGCUAGUUGGUGGGGUAAUGGCCUACCAAGGCGACGAUCCGUAACUGGUCUGAGAGGAUGAUCAGUCACACUGGAACUGAGACACGGCCCAGACUCCUACGGGAGGCAGCAGUGGGGAAUAUUGGACAAUGGGCGAAAGCCGGAUGCAGCCAUGCCGCGUGUAUGAAGAAGGUCUUCGGAUUGUAAAGCACUUUAAGUUGGGAGGCGUUACCAACAGAAUAAGCACCGGCUAACUUCGUGCCAGCAGCCGCGGUAAUAC
rnacentral:rRNA from 1 species